GACGAACGCUGGCGGCGUGCUUAACACAUGCAAGUCGAACGAUGAAGCAUAGCUUGCUGGGUGGAUUAGUGGCGAACGGGUGAGUAACACGUGAGUAACCUGCCCUGGACUCUGGGAUAAGCGUUGGAAACGACGUCUAAUACCGGAUAGGAACUUUCAACGAAUGGUGGGGGGUGGAAUGUUUUUUCGGUUUGGGAUGGACUCGCGGCCUAUCAGCUUGUUGGUGAGGUAAUGGCUGACCAAGGCGUCGACGGGUAGCCGGCUUGAGAGGGUGACCGGCCACACUGGGACUGAGACACGGCCCAGACUCCUACGGGAGGCAGCAGUGUGGAAUAUUGCACAAUGGGCGCAAGCCUGAUGCAGCAACGCCGCGUGCGGGAUGACGGCCUUCGGGUUGUAAACCGCUUUUAGUAAGGAAGAAGCCUUCGGGUGACGGUACUUGCAGAAAAAGGACCGGCUAACUACGUGCCAGCCGCCGCUGUAACAC
rnacentral:rRNA from 1 species